rnacentral:rRNA from 1 species
CUACUGCCAUGCCACCCUGAACAUGCCUUAUCUUGUCUGAUCUCGGAAGCUAAGCAGGGUCGGGCCUGGUUAGUACUUGAGUACUUGGAUGGGAGACCACCUAGGGAGACCACCUAGGAAUACCAGGUGCCGUAGUCU